AGGCUCCACCUCAGCAUGAAGUUGUGAGAAGCUUAUAAUUCUCCUAUGAAAUGUCCCAGGAUUUUCCACAUUACUCCUCUCUGCUUGGAGAAAGCCUGCUUAUGCCACCCCAAGGCUGUGCCUCCAUGUUGCUCUCAGUCAGAAAGCCCUGAAGGUUUCUCUGCUUUCUCUGAGCUCAAGGCUGGGAAGCCAGGGCUGCACUUUUCAUCAAGGUCAGAGGAAGCGCUGACCAUGCUGGACAGUGAACGCCUAUGGUGGGUGGACAAAGCUGAAAGUUUUCACACCCCUACAGUUCCAAAAAGCCAGAAAUCCAUAUUCACACCUCAAAGGAAAAAUAUUCUCCCUACCAGUCAACUUCAGGAAAUCAAGAUAUGCUUUGCUCCCCAUCUCCUAAGGCUCUUCACCUCUCUUCCGUACCUCUGCACCUCAUUUACUCACUAUGAGCAUCAGCUGCUUGGUGGAAACCUCAGCAGCAUCUUCCACCUGAAGAAGGUCUGAAGAGCAGGGUGAGGAGAGGGAAGAGGAAUCAGGUUA